UUAAAAACAAUCAAAUAAUCACAAAAAAACGACUAUAAAGCUCGAGAUCUCUGUUAGGCAACAGCGCACACGAAAAAUGAAUGAAAUAGUAAAAAUGAAUUUACGUCGUAAACAGAUGAGUUGCCACUUUCGUCACCAGGUAUUUAGGUACCUGAGGAACAAAUUUUGCAUGACACGAAUAUUUUAAUUUUGAUAUGGGAACUUGUUACAGUAAAUAGUGUGAUAAUUUGUGGAUUAUUGGCAAUUAAAUAGAAAAAUAAUACAUUUUCCGGCGAAACAUCUUUUCAACUUGGCAUCAUGGCCUUAAUAUCUAUAUGCGUGUAUGAUUUCAUUUAAUGUAAACAUGCUGGGUCUAUCCUUGGUUAUAAGUCUAUGCAAUAUCGCCAUUCGACAAAAUAAUUACAAUUAAUUGACGAGGUUUGCAUGUGCCGCGAAUCGACAUCAUCCAUCCUGUCUGGGCCUUCAGGUCACAUAUUUGUUUAAUAAAAGUAAAAUAAGUAAUCACAGUAUCAUUUAAUAAAAAUUAAAAUAUACAGUCCACUACCAGCAGAAGAAAAGUAAUCCAUCAUUAUUUCAAAUAGAACAUCCUAUAUGUAAUUAGAUUUUUGGAUUCUAUAUUAUUAAAAUAUUUAAUUCAUUGAGUUUUAUUUAUGAUUAUACCUACAUUGAUUUUUUUUACAUGUAUCAUAAUUUGUUAUAAAUUCAUAAAAGCAAUUUUAUGAAUUUAAAAGACUAAACAGCAAUUUUCAAAACCGCGUACCUUAGAAACAGUUGAAUAAAAGUAUGGCAAGUUAUAUGCUACCACCUAGAGACCCUACCAUUACGGGAGCUACGCCUACACACAGAACACAAAUAUAUAGCUGAUGACAAAUAUAUAUAACUGUUUCUCAGAAACAUUUAAAAUAUACAUACUCUUACAUCAAGGUCAGGACAAUUUCAAUCAAUUUUUAAUUGUUGAAUAAAAAAUGAGAGGCCAGACAUUUUGUAAUAUGUAUUUAUAAUAAUCAAGUUAAAAAUUAAAUACUUGAAAGUGAAACUUCUUCAUUGAAAUCAACUGAAUUUGAUUUUAUUAAAGACUAAAGAUUGACAAUACAAAAACAUAAUAGUAAUAAAUAAAAUCAGAUUUUCUUACCAGAAACCUGGAAUUGCUUGCCGCAAACUAAUUAAAACACUACUCCCAAUAUUGCAAGAGAACUUU